UUGACCAGACUGCAGGAGGACAGGAAGACUGGAGUGCCUGGAACAGAACAAGCUUUGCUGCUGCUUCAAGUAGCGACAGGGUUGCAAGGAGCACACCUUCCCAUUCUUCAGCCCUAUAUAAUGGGGCAAAUCCUUAUCUCCCGCAACCCCAUAGAUCAAGUUUAAGAGGUGGGGAGAGCCAGCCACCCAUCGAUCAUAUGACAUUGCAGUUACAUCAGUCAUGACAAAGCAUAAGUUGUGAACAAGAAUACUGAGAAUCCAACCUGAGGGGAAAUAAGGAAGAAGGCUGAGCUGAGAGCUUGGAAGUCCCUGAAUUCUCAAUUCAGCAGUAAAUUGACAAGGUGGGCCUUGACAGAAGAAGAAGAAGAGUUUGGAUUUGAUAUCCUGCCUUUCACUCCCCUUCAGGAGUC